rnacentral:rRNA from 1 species
CCUACGGGAGGCUGCAGUGAGGAAUAUUGGUCAAUGGACGCAAGUCUGAACCAGCCAUGCCGCGUGCAGGAAGACGGCUCUAUGAGUCGUAAACUGCUUUUGUACGAGGGUAAACGCAGAUACGCGUAUCUGUCUGAAAGUAUCCUCCGCAUACGGCUCGGCUAACUCCGUGCCAGCCGCCGCGGUAAUACGGAGGAUUGAAGCGUUAUCCGGGAUUAUUGGGUUUAAAGGGUUCGGAGGGGGUCGUAUAAGUUAGAGGUGAAACACCGGGGCUCCACUUCGGACUUGCCGCUGAUACUGGGCGCCUAGAGAGGAGGAGCGGUAGGCGGAAUGUAUGGUGUAGCGGUGAAAUGCUUAGAGAUCAUACAGAACACCGAUUGCGAAGGCAGCCUACC